rnacentral:lncRNA from 1 species
GGUCAUGGGAACCCACAUGCCAUCAGCCUUAACGGAUUUAUAUCUUCUGAUGUGUGGUUGUCUUUAAAGUCUUUAAAGAGUGGGUUGUCACUCACACCCUUGAAAGUGGCCAUAGCAUAGCCCAGGGAUAAUUAUGCACGUUAUCCAAAAUCUAGGGCUUGACAACUCCACUUUAGAAAGAUCUUGGAAAGCCAAGACUGGCCGGGGAGAAGCCUCUCCUUAAAAACUUUGGGGGCAGUCACUUUUCAUCCCGAUCCACAAACCACCUGGACUUCUGCCCACCUUCCAGCUGUGGAAUUCUGAUAAACAGACCAAGGUCCUGACUGUGUCUUUGUGGCAGUUCCAGGGUUCCUAUAAAAGUGCUUCUUCAUAACACACAGGGACCUUAUUGCAGGUGGCCAGUGUCUUAACUUCUGUUAUAAGGAUACGUGGCUUGGAAAUUCAUGGGAAGAAUGAUACCUAAAGUGAUGCUGUAUGUUUAAAGGCAGUGUUAGGGGCUGCUGUGUGGGCGUGGGUUUUGCAUGCACAGCUUCCAGUGGCAUGGAGCUAGCCACUUUUUAAAGCAGGACGUGGCAUUCCCAUUGAGCUAUUUAAGACAUUACGUAUGUAGCAUCAGAAAGGACACGUCAGGCCAGGGUUGAUUCCUCACAACUUUCUCCACUUCCUAUCUCUUAGGGAAAUUUGUUGACGUCACCAUCGACUGGUUCUGUGCCACCACUGCCUUUCUGUUCAUCUGUGCCAUCCUUUCCCCCUUGGUGGUCAUGAUGCACGCACAAGUGACCCGGCUGUCCAAGACGUCAGAGGCAGAGACCGAGGUGAUUCAGGUGCGGAUUCUCCUUUUGACCGAAGUUCUCCAGCAGCUCCAAAUUGGCAAAGGUAAUAUAAAUGUGACUAACAAGGGCAGAUUAAUGAGGUUCGUUAGACUCCAUGCAGUAGGGAUGAAAAAUGUCUUGUGUUUGUUGAAUAUUUAUUUAUCGAAUAUUUAUUUAUUGGAGGGGGGAAAAACAUGUGUAACCAAAAGUGUGUUGCUCAGAUCCUGUGCAAUUCAAGGGAGAGGUGUACUAAGAAAAGAUUUACCCAUUCCCUUCCACUUGGGGGCGCUGUGGGAUGGUGCAGCUUGCCCAGGGCCACCCAGGCUGGCUCUACUCCCAGGUAGCCCCAGUGAGGGGAAUCAAACUCUCAGUCUCUGGCCCUGUAGCUGGACAACUUUUUGGCAGUAA